UCGGGAAUUUUGUGCAAUGGGCGAAAGCCUGACACAGCAACGCCGCGUGAAGGAUGAAGUCCCUCGGGAUGUAAACUUCGUAAGAAUAGGAAGAAUAAAUGACGGUACUAUUUGUAAGGUCCGGCUAACUACGUGCCAGCAGCCGCGGUAAUACGUAGGGACCAAGCGUUGUUCGGAUUUACUGGGCGUAAAGGGCGCGUAGGCGGUGUGUCAAGUCAGUUGUGAAAUCUCCGAGCUUAACUCGGAACGGUCAACUGAUACUGUCACACUAGAGUACAGAAGGGGCAAUCGGAAUUCUUGGUGUAGCGGUGAAAUGCGUAGAUAUCAAGAGGAACACCUGAGGCGAAGGCGGGUUGCUGGGCUGAUACUGACGCUGAGGCGCGAAAGCUAGGGUAGCAAACGGGAUUAGAUACCCCCGUAGUCCCUGAGCGGGCUGGCAAGGCGCAU
rnacentral:rRNA from 1 species